rnacentral:rRNA from 1 species
GACGAACGCUGGCGGCGUGCCUAACACAUGCAAGUCGAACGGAGUGUUUAUUUAUAAACACUUAGUGGCGAACGGGUGAGUAACGCGUAGACAACCUACCCUCUAGAUGGGGACAACACCGCGAAAGUGGUGCUAAUACCGAAUGUUGUAAUGUUAUUGCAUAAUGAUAUUACUAAAGGUGGCCUCUAUAUAUAAGCUACCGCUAGAAGAUGGGUCUGCGUCUGAUUAGCUAGUUGGUGAGAUAACAGCUCACCAAGGCAAUGAUCAGUAGCCUGUCUGAAAGGAUGAACGGCCACACUGGGGCUGAGCCACGGCCCUGCGUCCUACGGGAGGCAUCAGUGGGGAAGCUUCCGCAAUGGACGAAAGUCUGACGGAGCAACGCCGCGUGAGUGAAGAAUGGUUUCGGAUCGUAAAGCUCUGUCUUCAAGGACGAAUGUAGAUAUUGUGAAUAAUGAUAUUUAAUGACGGUACUUGAGGAGGAAGCCACGGCUAACUACGUGCCAGCAGCCGCGGUAA